ACGAACGCUGGCGGCAUGGAUUAGGCAUGCAAGUCGAACGGUUACUUACUUGUAGCAAUACAUGUAAGUGAUAGUGGCGCAAGGGUGAGGAACACGUGAGUAAUCUGCCCUCAAGUUGGGAAUAAUUCUGCGAAAGUGGGACUAAUACCGAAUGUUGUUAAUUUGACGCAUGUUGAAUUAACCAAAGAUUUAUCGCUUGAGGAUGAGCUCGCGUCCCAUUAUGCUAGUUGGUGAGGUAACGGCUCACCAAGGCUAUGACGGGUAGGUGGUCUGAGAGGAUGGUCACCCACACUGGGACUGAGAUACUGCCCAGACUCCUACGGGAGGCUGCAGUCGAGAAUCUUCCGCAAUGGGCGAAAGCCUGACGGAGCAAUGCCGCGUGUAGGAUGAAGGCCUUAGGGUCGUAAACUACUGUCACCGGGGAUGAACAAAAUGACAGUACCCGGGGAGGAAGCCACGGCUAACUACGU
rnacentral:rRNA from 1 species